rnacentral:misc_RNA from 1 species
AACGCAAGUUGCGGUGUCCCUUUGCGGGGCACCAUGCCUCCUUGAGUAUCAUGUACACUAUUACUCGCCGGCGUGCUGGCGGAGAAUGAGUUUUGUCGAACGGUGUUGUGUGUGUUUUCACACAUGCAUUGUUCGUCACUUGAAGUGUCGUGAACCGAUCAUCCCAUGUCGCAGAUUUCUGUCCUUUGGGUUUGACACGAUUGGAUCUUUUCCGAACAGUGUCUUGGACUUCGAAGUGGCAGAAGAGACGUGGGUAGGUGACGUUGAGAACUCUGCUUCGCUCUCGCCCCUCGGGGGGAAAGCAAGCAGGCCAGUCGUCUCGAUUGACCCCCUAAUCCGAUCUCAAGUGAGGUAAGAAGACCCGCUGAAUUUAA